rnacentral:lncRNA from 1 species
GCAGAAAUCUUAUUAAAUAUAGUUUCAUGGAUAGCACAAUAUAGUAUGUUCAUAGCAUUAGCAUUCAAUUGUGCUAAGUCUUUUUCAUUAACAGUUUGAGAGAGUGUGUGAAGGUCAUUUAUUAUGAUAUUUCAUAAAUCAUAGUUUUGUGAUUGAAUAAAAAUGUGCAUGCGUGCUUUCCAAUAUGUGUAGUUUAUGCCAUUAAAUAGUGGAGGUCUAUCAAUUAAUUGUCCCUCUUCUAGAAAACUAUCUAUUUGAGUUGUCAUGAUCUUUGGCUCUUGAUCGUGAGAUCAACAAUUAACUUUAGAGCACCUGCUCUGAUACCACUUGUUGCCCAAGAUGACAACCCAA